CACACCCAGUGUAUGGAGGUUUUGCUCAAAGGUCAGGGACGUAUUGAACAAAAUUCUUAGUCAGGCUCAGACCUUCAACACCAAAUUCCUUCAACAACAUCCAGAAGACCCCUGAGAUACACAUUACUCAAAGGGGGAAAGCCCGAUGGAGCCAAGGCAGCUGGAAUUCGUGAGAUGAUGACAACAUGCAAGAAUCCAUCUCGUCAGGCUUCUGGUUACGCACUUGUAUCUGAAAUACCGGUGGUUUAGACGAAUCAGUGUCCCAAAUCCAGCUGCCUCGUAAGGUGCUCUCUUGAUGCUGUUUUGCGCAACCCACCCCCCCCCCCCAUCACCAACCAGUCUUCAUAUUCCUCAAAGAAACACUUCAACUUCAUCAGCCCGAUCAGUUUCAGCCUUAAGAUGACUUGUUGUGAUCUGGCCCGAGAAGAUUGAUCGAAGUCAAUGAUGUGUCUGGACUCCAUGGGGGGAUCUAUCAUGCUGAUGCUCAGGACUUACGUUCUUCGAUUCAAAUAUUCUCCCUGCAGAGUCCAAGCGCCAAAGACUAUGACAAUACCUGAUCAUUAAUAUCAUCUGCAUAAUAAACAUAUUUUACUUUA